UGAGGGGGGGGAAAGAAGCAGAUUUAUCCCCUAAAUCACUAGGGCUUGCUGGCUGGCUGCUUCUUGGGUUUGCCCCCAGGUCAUACUCCCUCGGACAGGGAGGAAAGAAAGCCACCACAAGGCAAUUGGAUUCGAUUUCCUCCCCUGUCAGAGUCCUUCUAAUUUCUCGAAACUACUAAUUUACCAGAUGGAAGAAUUUCGGACCCUGAGAUACCUUUCCAGUUCUAAGUGCAUUUCUCCUUACCUUUAUGCCAUCUGUGAGGAAAAAAAUUGCCUCUCUAUUGGAGAUAACACAGUGGAAACCCCUUUGUCAUCCUGAUGAUUACAUGGUCCCUAACUGCAAGGAUCUACAAUCCCAUGGAAAAGAGAUGCACACAGUGAUUAAGAGCAUGGACCCUGGAGCCAGACCGCCUGGACUUGGACUCCCCAGCUCCGCGCUGGCCAGCAGUGCCGUGUAACAGCCAAGCGAGUCUGCGAGCCACUGUCCUGGAGAAUUAACAGACAUGUGCCCUCACAUGAUGGCCCUUGCAGCGUGUCAAGACCAGUCAAGAUGGCCUCUUCCCCGCAGAACAGCUCUAGCUUCUUUCCUCCCUUGUCCCCCAUGUGAUGCGUUUGUCAGCUACUUUCCCUUAGAACUUUGCCUGCGUCCCACUUCAAGAGUGGCUCUAGGACAUGACGUUUAGUAGCAUACUCUGCGGCCACAGGUCUCUCCCUCGCCGGCGUCGGUGCACAUUUUGUAGUCCUAGUGUUUCCCUGAAAGUGAAGACCGUCAAAAAGCAGCCAAGUGGAGUUCUGUCUUCUCCCUUUACUCCAUCGGAUUACACGAGUGGCUCCAAGCAGCAGACAAAGCCCUUCUUGGGUUUUCUUGUUCCAAAUCUCAUUUUAGCUACGAUAUUCUCCCAAGAUGGACCCAACUCUAGUUAGUGGGGUUGUUUUAUUUGGUCUUUGGGGCUGCCGUAUCACACUAAUGUCGCGGAUCGCCCAACUCUUCCAUAGCCAUGUCUAUUCUAGCCUGUACUUAGGUAGGGCUCUCGGGGGAAGGGGAGACCAUUUCAAUCUUUAAUUUACCCAAUUAAAUUGCUUCUUGUUGGCCUCAGUCUGUAUCUCUGAUGGUGUCAUUUUGGAUCCCGAUGAUUCCAUCGCAUGCGUUCACCAUCUCUCCCUCCGACUUGGGCUAUUUGAGCCAGUUAGCGUAACUGAGAGAGCAAUGGCUCUGAAUCAGACGGUCUGAAGUUCAAAUCCCCAGUCUCUG